AUGGUCCUUGGCUACAACCCGAACGAAGCCUCGUCCAUUGCGGAGCGGCUUAAGUGCCGCCUGGGCAUCUUCCCCACCACUUACUUGGGGGUGCCCAUUAGUGACUCCAGACUCACCGUCGCGGAUCUACGACCGACGGUGACUAGGAUGCAGCGCAGGGUUGAACCCUGGAGGGGUUGCUGGCUGUCGAAAGCCGCGAGGGUGAUCCUUAUCAAUUCCUCGCUUGCGAGCCUCCUCUGGUUCCUCUUGAGCUUCUAUUGCCUUCAUGAGACCCUCCACCAGGAGGUGGACAAAUACCAGUCGAGGUUCUUAUGGGCUGGUGAGGACGACAAACAAUAGUACCAUAUGGUGAGCUGGUCCGACAUCUACAAGCCCAAAGACCAGGGGGGUCUCGGGAUCCUCUCUUCCCGACGCAUGAACAUUGCCCUCCUGACUCGCUGGUUGUGGCGUAUUGCCAACGGGGAGGGAGGCCUCUGGCUCACCAUCAUCCGCAAUAAAUACCUUCGUGGCCAACCUCUUGCCUUUUGCCAACGUACGGGCGGUUCCCAGUUCUGGCAGUCCGUGAUCCAGCUCCUGCCCAUACUACGCAUUGGCACUUCUAUCUGUUGGUUCCGGAGCCUUGACCCUAUUUUGGUUCGACCGUUGGCUAGGGGACGCCCCCCUGGCGGUGCGUUUCCCUGA
rnacentral:rRNA from 1 species